rnacentral:rRNA from 1 species
UACGAAGGGGCUAGCGUUGCUCGGAAUCACUGGGCGUAAAGGGUGCGUAGGCGGGUCUUAAGUCAGGGGUGAAAUCCUGGAGCUCAACUCCAGAACUGCCUUUGAUACUGAAGAUCUUGAGUUCGGGAGAGGUGAGUGGAACUGCGAGUGUAGAGGUGAAAUUCGUAGAUAUUCGCAAGAACACCAGUGGCGAAGGCGGCUCACUGGCCCGUAACUGACGCUGAGGCACGAAAGCGUGGGGAGCAAACAGG